CUGUUUGUAGAUUGUUCCUUGAGAGAGCCCGGAUGGAGUCCCGUUAUCCUCUGCACGAGUGUGCCACCUUGCAAGUGGGUAACGGAGGUCAGGUCGCAGGAGGGGUUUUCUGCAGGGUCGUCACGAGGACCCGGCCACACCAGGACUUGUGCAGACUGCACAGGGCCCGGCCCAGGGACCCAGUGUCCAGAGGUGGCAAUGAGGGUGUUCAGGAGCACUUCUGCCAAAGAGGGCACCUUGAUCUCAGUGGAGAGGUGGUCAGUGGCCCCGUGGGCUUGUGCAUCAGAGACAGAGAGAGAUGGAGCAGAUGCCUGAAGCAGAAGGAAGAAUCCCCUAAGUCACAAGAAACUCUGCAUUCAUCAAAAAGCUUAACCAAGACAAGAAGGAUGGAGCCAGUCAACAGAAGAUUGAGGUGGGGGAGCAGACAGACGAAGCAGACAUCAAUUUCGGCCAGCCCUCUGCAGUCCUCCCAGGGGCCCAGGCAGGAAGACAACUGGCUGCAGCACCUGCAACACUAA
rnacentral:lncRNA from 1 species